UUGUCGUGGCUCAGACGGUAGAGUAAGAGACUUCGGACCUAAAGGUGGCGGGUUCAAGUCCUGUGUUCGCCAAA
rnacentral:tRNA from 1 species